UGAAAUCCAGAAAAGAAACUCAGCCAGGAAAAGGAUCUUGAGGUUGAAAUCCAGAAAAAGAAACUCAGCCAGGAAAAGGAUCUUGAGGUUGAAAUCCAGAAAAAGAAACUCAGCCAGGAAGCAGAAGUUCAGUUGAAGAAGACACGGAGGGAACUUGAAAAGGUACA